UAAGUUGGAGGAUAGAAAGGCAGCUAUCACGCCUAUAAAUAUAAAAUGUUCCUCGCUCGGCUAGUAAUAGCAACGCAAGAAGGUCAUUUAUAGGUCUUGAAAGAGAUGCAGGGUACGCCGACCUGCCCAACUAA
rnacentral:ncRNA from 12 species